rnacentral:rRNA from 1 species
UACAGAGGGGGCAAGCGUUGUUCGGAAUUACUGGGCGUAAAGGGCGCGUAGGCGGCCCGCUAAGUCGAACGUGAAAUCCCCAGGCUCAACCUGGGAACUGCGUCCGAUACUGGCAGGCUUGAAUCCGGGAGAGGGAUGCGGAAUUCCAGGUGUAGCGGUGAAAUGCGUAGAUAUCUGGAGGAACACCGGUGGCGAAGGCGGCAUCCUGGACCGACACUGACACUGAGGAGCGAAAGCCAGGGGAGCAAACGGG